rnacentral:rRNA from 1 species
AUAUCAAUAAGCGGAGGAAAAGAAACUAACAAGGAUUCCCCUAGUAACGGCGAGUGAAGCGGGAUGAGCUCAAAUUUAAAAUCUGGCUGGUUUACUAGUCCGAAUUGUAGUUUAUAGAAGCGUUCUUUCGGGGAUAAUUGAGGUUUAAGUCCGUUGGAAUACGGCACGAUACAGGGUGAGAGUCCCGUGAAGCCUUUAUGUUGUUCCUAUGUGAAACGUUUUCGAAGAGUCGCGUAGUUUGAGAAUGCUGCGCAAAUCGGGAGGUAAAUACCUUCUAAAGCUAAAUAUUGAGGAGAGACCGAUAGCGCACAAGUA